rnacentral:rRNA from 1 species
UAGGGAAUCUUCCGCAAUGGCCGCAAGUCUGACGGAGCAACGCCGCGUGAGUGAAGAAGGAUUUCGGUUCGUAAAACUCUGUUGUUAGAGAAGAACAGCGCAUAGAGUAACUGUUAUGCGUGUGACGGUAUCUAACAAGAAAGCCACGGCUAACUACGUGAUAGCAGCCGCGGUAAUACGUAGGUGGCAAGCGUUGUCCGGAUUUAUUGGGCGUAAAGCGAGCGCAGGCGGUCAAUUAAGUCUGAUGUGAAAGCCCCCGUCUCAACCGGGGAGAGUCAUUUGACACUUGUUUACUUGCGUCCAUACUCGGCUAGUGGAAUUCCAUGUGUAGCGUUUAACUGCGUAGAUAUAUAGCGAACCACCAGUUGCGAAGGCUCCUCUCUUGUCUGUAACUGACGCUGAGUCUCGAAAGCGUGGGUAGCAAACAGG